rnacentral:lncRNA from 1 species
AGUGGGGGCCAGUGUAUGAGUAUAUAUCUGGAAUGAAGAGACCAUAAAUGGAAGAAUGCAUUCAUCUAUAAUUGUGUGGAGACUUGAGGAAUGAUGAAGCUUCGAGGUUAGCCAGUCUAACACCUUUAUUUCACAGCUGACAAACGAGGCUGAGAAGAGCAGGGAUGUGCUGAAAGCCACUCAGGGGUACCUUGUUCUUGCCUUGUCACCUAGCCUGAGACUAGGGAUGAAAGGACAAGGUUGCAGCAGAGACAUGCAUGUCUACAGGCUGACGACAGAGGUUUCCAUCUCAACAGUGAAGAUCACAUCAAAUGCAUGUGGGAGCAGUCACAGGUGUCUCUCGGGGGGCUGUCAUCCAGGUGCGCCAGCAACUUUCCUGGCUAGGAGAACUCCCUUUGUCCCUCAAGAAAGCCCUGGCCUCUGGACUCAGGACAAGGGUCCACCUGCCUAAGACCCAGCGGAGCUUCUCAGGUUCCUGUCUCCUGUCUCCUCCCUCUUCCCCUCUCUCCUAUCUGCAGUUUCUGCUCGGGGAAAUACAAUAACCUAAUAUUUAAAUAAAAU